UUUUGUGGUGUUCAUCUAUAUUUAAAUGAAGGAUACGAAUCAUCAUUGUAAUGGCAACUUUAGCUGUCAGGGAUCCUGUUGCAGCUCUGCCUCAGCCAGUCUGUGCACAGAGCAUGGAGCACCAGGGCCAUGGAGCAUGUGGGCUAUGGAAUCGGGUUGCCUAUUUUCAUCUUGACUCCAUCACUUGCUGGGCAACCUUGAGGAGCGGACUCAAACCUUUCAAAUAUUUUGAGUGGUUGGAAAGAAGAAACACAAAACAAUUCUAUUUUCUGAGUUUUAAAAAUGUCUGAACCCCUGGAAGACCCAGCCAGACCAAAUCUGCUUUUUCUCCUGGAUCCAUAAUGUACAGUGGUAAAUUAAAGGCUUCGAGAAGCUCUG
rnacentral:lncRNA from 10 species